rnacentral:rRNA from 1 species
GACGAACGCUGGCGGCGUGCUUAACACAUGCAAGUCGAACGGAAAGGCCCUGCUUUUGUGGGGUGCUCGAGUGGCGAACGGGUGAGUAACACGUGAGUAACCUGCCCUUGACUUUGGGAUAACUUCAGGAAACUGGGGCUAAUACCGGGUAGGAGCUCCUGCUGCAUGGUGGGGGUUGGAAAGUUUCGGCGGUUGGGGAUGGACUCGCGGCUUAUCAGCUUGUUGGUGGGGUAGUGGCUUACCAAGGCUUUGACGGGUAGCCGGCCUGAGAGGGUGACCGGCCACAUUGGGACUGAGAUACGGCCCAGACUCCUACGGGAGGCAGCAGUGGGGAAUAUUGCACGAUGGGCGGAAGCCUGAUGCAGCAACGCCGCGUGCGGGAUGACGGCCUUCGGGUUGUAAACCGCUUUCGCCUGUGACGAAGCGUGAGUGACGGUAAUGGGUAAAGAAGCACCGGCUAACUACGUG